CUCACCCAGGAGCUGUGCUCAGCUUGGAUUCUCAUUGGAUGUUUCAACAAUUUCGAAUGGAUGAAUGUAUGUGGAAUAGAGCCACCAUCUCCCCUUGUCCGGUUUUCAACCUCACUCUUGGAGAGAAGGGGAGAGCCAGCAGAUGCAGGAGCACAGGAGUAAGCUGAUUUAGACUGAGUAUCUCAGCUGCUGGAUGUGGAGCUGCAAGAUGACAGAUGACAAUAUUCGUCAGAACCCAGCGAUGAGGUCUCUGAAGACAAGGACGAUUCAAUGAAG